rnacentral:lncRNA from 1 species
CGUCGAUGUAACGUGUUGCGAGUGUUGCAGUCAAGAUCAGCUGCAAUAGCUGGCGAAGUAACUACGUUCUAAAUAGAAUAUUGUACAGGAUAAAUUUUAUUUUGAGAAAAGUUCAAAAAUGAUACAUUUCAAAACAUUUAUUGAAAACAUUACUCCUUUCUUUUAUCCUACUGGAAAAAAACAGAUGGAAUUAUAUCAUCCAACAAAUCUUCCUGACAGUAAACUUACCAAUAAUUCAAUGUUGCAUAAAUCUCCUACUGAAAUAUUAACUGCAGUUUCAAAAGAUGUAACUAAAAAUUCAUCAAUCCAUGAAUUAGUUUCAAGUGAAAAGAUAAAUAGAAAGUUAUUUGAAAAAUGUCAAAUAGUUUUAGAUUUGCCUUUGACAUUAAAAAUGAAAGAGAA